rnacentral:rRNA from 1 species
CAGAGACUGCAAGCGUUAUUCGGAUUCACUGGGCGUAAAGGGUGCGCAGGCGGUUGGGUGUGUCAGAUGUGAAAUCCCGAGGCUCAACCUCGGAACUGCGUCUGAAACUACUCGACUAGAGUACUGGAGAGGGAAACGGAAUUCACGGUGUAGCAGUGAAAUGCGUAGAUAUCGUGAGGAACACCAGAGGCGAAGGCGGUUUCCUGGACAGUUACUGACGCUCAGGCACGAAAGCAUGGGGAGCAAAAGGGAUUAGAUACCCCUGUAGUCCAUGCCCUAAACGGUGCACACUAGGUCUUAGCGGAUUCGACCCCACUAGGGCCCAAGCUAACGCGUUAAGUGUGCCGCCUGAGGACUACGGUCGCAAGACUA